CAUACCAUGCUGAAUGUACCGGUUCUCGUUAGAUCACCGAAGUCAAGCAUCAUUGGGCGCGGUCAGUACUACCACCUGGGAGCACCGCGUGC